rnacentral:rRNA from 1 species
GAUGAACGCUGGCGGCGUGCCUAAUACAUGCAAGUCGAGCGAACAGAUGAGGAGCUUGCUCCUCUGACGUUAGCGGCGGACGGGUGAGUAACACGUGGAUAACCUACCUAUAAGACUGGGAUAACUUCGGGAAACCGGAGCUAAUACCGGAUAAUAUAUUGAACCGCAUGGUUCAAUAGUGAAAGACGGUUUUGCUGUCACUUAUAGAUGGAUCCGCGCCGCAUUAGCUAGUUGGUAAGGUAACGGCUUACCAAGGCAACGAUGCGUAGCCGACCUGAGAGGGUGAUCGGCCACACUGGAGCUGAGACACGGUACAGACUCCUACGGGAGGCAGCAGUAGGGAAUCUUCCGCAAUGGGCGAAAGCCUGACGGAGCAACGCCGCGUGAGUGAUGAAGGUCUUCGGAUCGUAAAACUCUGUUAUUAGGGAAGAACAAAUGUGUAAGUAACUAUGCACGUCUUGACGGUACCUAAUCAGAAAGCCACGGCUAACUACGUG